rnacentral:ribozyme from 1 species
UUGCUCUUGUUUUUUUUUUCGUGUGCUUUGUCGUGUUUGUGCAAUUUUAGCACUUGGGAGGAGAGAUGCGAGAUGCCGCUAGAGUAGACAAAAAA